AUCUGAGUGCAGGAAAGAAGUAACAGAGGAUAAUAGUGUCUUUUCCAGAGGAUAGAGUUAAAUUAUUAAAUUACUCCCUGUAGGAAAUAAAAUUGAGUGUAUUAAUAUAUUACAUUACAUUACGAGUUUUGCUUAGUAAGACACAAAACAGGACUCGUGUUGGGAGGAAAGGGUUAAAAGUGGAAGAAUAUCGAGGAGGAUUCUCUCAAGUGACCUUGCAGCUGGGAAUGCCAAGUCCUGGAGAAGAAAAUUGUGGGAAACCCCACAGAUUAUGCCUACUGCUGUUUAUCCUCUGACUGUUUUGAGAAGCAGAAUCUCUUUGUAGAGAUAACACAGGUGUUCAAAGAGCCUUGGAGGCCCUCUCAUGGACAUGCUUGAGCUCCCUGUUUUGACAGACAGACCAUCAAAGCUCAGAGAUCAUAAAAAACACAGGGGAGACCAUAGCAUGAUGGUAAACCUAAAUGCCCCUAAUAAAUGGGUGCCAACUGCAGGCUCACCAGCUGCACAGACUGGCCUAACAGUGCCUACAUUCCUGCCUAGGUGUUGCUUUGGGAUCCUGCAGGUAGCAAGGUAAUGAACUAAGUGUACUCUUUGUAUUUCAGCCAUAGUUCUGUGGUCCUUCCAGCGGCCUGCCUGUGUUGACUCACACAACUCCUACUGCUAGCUCAGAAGAGUGAAAUUCCAAGAGCAACUUCUCAUCAGUUACUCAGGGCCACAGUCCUGUGUUACCUCAGACCAGCAGCCACUCCCAACCAAGCACUGUACACCUGCACAGUGUGGAACAGAGUCUUCAUUUUUGGCAGUAACUUCCUGACUCACCUGUGCCAGAACUCACGCUUCGGCCACGUUGUCUUCCAGCCACGCUCCUUCCUAGCCAGGGCCAUCUGCUCCAAGUUCCGAGGAUUUCUAUUAGUGAAGUUUGGGGCAACAACCUCAUUUUCACUUGUAUCCACUUCAGUCUCAGUUUUGACACUGGCUG